GGCCAGAUAGCUCAAUGGUAGAGCAGUUGACUUUUAAUCAAUUGGUUCCGGGUUCGAGUCCCGGUCUGGCCA
rnacentral:tRNA from 6 species